GACGAACGCUGGCGGCGUGCCUAAUACAUGCAAGUAGAACGCUGAAGGAGGAGCUUGCUUCUCUGGAUGAGUUGCGAACGGGUGAGUAACGCGUAGGUAACCUGCCUGGUAGCGGGGGAUAACUAUUGGAAACGAUAGCUAAUACCGCAUAAGAGUAGAUGUUGCAUGACAUUUACUUAAAAGGUGCAAUUGCAUCACUACCAGAUGGACCUGCGUUGUAUUAGCUAGUUGGUGGGGUAACGGCUCACCAAGGCGACGAUACAUAGCCGACCUGAGAGGGUGAUCGGCCACACUGGGACUGAGACACGGCCCAGACUCCUACGGGAGGCAGCAGUAGGGAAUCUUCGGCAAUGGACGGAAGUCUGACCGAGCAACGCCGCGUGAGUGAAGAAGGUUUUCGGAUCGUAAAGCUCUGUUGUAAGAGAAGAACGAGUGUGAGAGUGGAAAGUUCACACUGUGACGGUAUCUUACCAGAAAGGGACGGCUAACUACGUGCCAGCAGCCGCGGUAAUACGUAGGUCCCGAGCGUUGUCCGGAUUUAUUGGGCGUAAAGCGAGCGCAGGCGGUUAGAUAAGUCUGAAGUUAAAGGCUGUGGCUUAACCAUAGUACGCUUUGGAAACUGUUUAACUUGAGUGCAAGAGGGGAGAGUGGAAUUCCAUGUGUAGCGGUGAAAUGCGUAGAUAUAUGGAGGAACACCGGUGGCGAAAGCGGCUCUCUGGCUUGUAACUGACGCUGAGGCUCGAAAGCGUGGGGGAGCAAACAGGAUUGAUACCCUGGUGUCCAAGGGCGAUUCCACAGUGGAUAUCAUGCUUAUCGAUACCGUCGACCUCGAGGGGGGGUCAGGUACCCAUCUUUUGUUCCCUUUAUGAGGGGUUAAUUACUGGUGCUGGGCGGGCUGUUCGUGUGUGUGUGUGGUGGUUGUGUGUGUGGUGUGUUGUGUUUCUGGUGUUGUGUGUGCACUGUGUGUGUGUGUUGUGUUGUUG
rnacentral:rRNA from 1 species